GGGUAGUGAGCUUAUAAGGACAAGCAGGUGGCUGUUAACCAUCAGAUAGAAGGUUCGAAUCCUUCACUAUCCGCCA
rnacentral:tRNA from 1 species